AUUGAACGCUGGCGGCAGGCCUAACACAUGCAAGUCGAGCGGAUGAAGGGAGCUUGCUCCUGGAUUCAGCGGAGGACGGGUGAGUAAUGCCUAGGAAUCUGCCUGGUAGUGGGGGAUAACGUCCGGAAACGGGCGCUAAUACCGCAUACGUCCUGAGGGAGAAAGUGGGGGAUCUUCGGACCUCACGCUAUCAGAUGAGCCUAGGUCGGAUUAGCUAGUUGGUGGGGUAAAGGCCUACCAAGGCGACGAUCCGUAACUGGUCUGAGAGGAUGAUCAGUCACACUGGAACUGAGACACGGUCCAGAGUCCUACGGGAGGCAGCAGUGGGGAAUAUUGGACAAUGGGCGAAAGCCUGAUCCAGCCAUGCCGCGUGUGUGAAGAAGGUCUUCGGAUUGUAAAGCACUUUAAGUUGGGAGGAAGGGCAGUAAGUUAAUACCUUGCUGUUUCGACGUUACCAACAGAAUAAGCACCGGCUAACUUCGUG
rnacentral:rRNA from 1 species